CUGCCCCAGGAGGAGCUUUUUUUUUUGGGGCUGCUGCUUUCUUGCUGCAUGGGGAUGUGCUGGGAGUUUUGGGCAGCUGCAGCCCCUCCUGCCCUUCUUCCAGCUCAUGUUUGGGUUGAUAGAAGUGCCAUGGGAGGCAGGAGACCCUUGCACCGGUGCUGUGAUGCUGUUGUCACCCCGACAGACGCGGUCCCAGCUCCGUGCUACAACCCACUAGCUGGCGCAGCGGCUCUGCAGCACCCCUAAAGCCUGCGGGGUGCUCGGAGGCAAAGGACAGCGCUGCUCCCUGGGUGCCAGCCGCCCCCCCCUCCUGGGAGAAGCCACCGCGUCGCCCUUCCACUGCAUGCAGCAAAAUUUAUUUUUGACUCAAGGUGGUGUUUCCAGCUGUGUGGGCUACGAUAGGAAACUAUGUGGGGGGAACAGGUUCAGGCCUGGCUGUGGUCGGCCCCGUAACCGCAGGGGCGCCCUGGCUGCCAUCUCCUGCUCCACGUGCGGUUCCAGCGCUGCCAGCCCCGAGGAGCUAACGGCACGGCUUGCAUGCCAGGGCCGCCUUCACCUGCUGGUUUCUGGAGCGAGUCAUUGUGGGACGUCUGCUUUCAGCUUAAAAGCAAAAAAUAUUCCUGCCAGUCGCUGUGAGAAAGACUGAAAAUAAGAGCUGGGCAUAUCCUGUUGGCUCAAAAACAGCCGGAUGGCAUAUUAUUGAAGUACGUGGUGGUUUUCAGAGUCAGUUACGUGUUUUGUAAGGCUUGCUUAUGACUUCUGAACUAGAAGUAGAAAUGCUGAGUUUCUUGAAUGCAUGUAAAAACAUUUGGGGAAUAGCCCUGCUAGGGUGAGGAGGGUGCCUGCAUUAGACCUCACUGCACAGCGUGAGAUGCUUAAGAUCAGGAACUGUGGCCAAGCCUUUGGUAAUUAGCUAAAUUACACUUGUGGUGCAGCCCCUGAUCAUGCCAGUGUCUGAAAAUGAUGUAACAGUAUUUGCCUAACAAAUAAGGAACCAGCCAACACAGGAAUUAUAGCUAUUUUUACAGAUAGCUGUAAAAGUUUGAUUUAAUGUUUUUGUGUAGAAAAGCAUUCAAGUUACAAAUUUCAUUUAUUAAAACAUGAAAAUGUGGGAAAAAAAAUCUCAAAUUAUGAAUCGAAAAUACUUUUUCUCAAGCCUGGUGUUACUUGAAAAUAGCGUCCCCUUCACUUCAUGUCUAGCAAGGCUUCUUGCCCUACUAAAUGCAUGCCCUGCUUCACCAUUUCACUUCUCUCUUUGAAGGGGAGUGACUGUGCUUUGCUCUUCAUUAGACCGACACAUGAACUCUCAGCUGGUUCUUUAAGGUAUAAUAACUAUGUCAGGGUUUUCAUUCUUAAUUUCCUUGAGCUGCUGAAUAGUUUAUAGCUAGGACCACCUCAAAAGAUCCAACGUUCCCGUGUGUUGAAUGUUUUCAGUUUUACUCAAAGUUAACAUUUCAUGCUUGUGCUGUAUAAGCACAAUGAUUCAGUUUUUAACGUGUCUGCUAUGAGCUAGUCCUAUUUUCGUCUGAACAUCCUCUCUUCCUAAGGAUGUUUUUACCCUACUGUCAUGUAACUGUCCUACACAGCCUUUCGCUACCUGGCUUGUUAACUAUUGUUAACAAUAAAGGAGUAUCUUUACUAUGAA